CCUCAUAUAGUCCCUAGUUUAUAGAGAUCAAAAACAAAAAUGUAAUGCAUGCCUUUCCUUUGAUCCAACAAUUAUAGAAAUGUAUACUAAGGAAAUAAUCAGAAGUGCACAUAAAUAAAUGGCUGCAAAGAUAUCUUUUGAGUGAAAAUCAUUCUUGGAGGAUGGCACAAAGGACAUUACCUAGAACAAACCAGCAUGUAGACAUUCAACCCAUUAAAGCCGUCUGGUAGAACGUGUGGUCUGGAUUAUUUCUUUUUUGAAAUGUGGAUGGAUCUGGUAACUAAGGCAUCUUAGAAGAGAAUACUGGCCUUUCUGUCUUUGGUCACAAAAGGAGAGCUUAAACAGAGAUGCUGAGAAGGCAAGUAUAGCAGAGAAUGUGAAGAAAUCCCCGCCAUGGUACCCACAGCAGAUGUUUUCCAAGUUUGGGGAUGGUAAAGGACCCAGGGGACGGUGCCAAGGAGCAGCACGAGGUGCCGUGUGAUAAAUGGAGCUGUCUCUUUCCCA